CACGGCUUUAUCUCCUGGCCACGUCGCCUCUGUCUCCCUCAUGGCGCCUUCCUCUGUGCGCCUCUCCCUGGGGCUGAGCUCCCUCACGCUCAGAUCUCUCCCUUGCUCCUGCAGCUCGCCCUCUCUUCCUCAAGCUCGUCCCCAUGGCCCGGUCCCAGCUUGGCCUCUGCUCCAACUUCCCCAGCCGCACCCAGCCGAGGUCCCUCCCACGUGCACAGCCCCUCACCCAUCUCCCAUGGCCGCACCGCUCCUCUCUCUCGCGCUCGGCCUCUCACCGGCAGAUUCCCUAGUCGUGAGCUCUGGCGCCGGCUGCCCCUUCGUGCUCGUCUCUGGAGCUCGCCCGACCCCAAGCUACGCUCGCCCGUGGCCGUCGAACUUGCUCAAGUCCGGUCAUCCUCAACCUUCGGUCUUUGCUCAUCCCAGCCGAUGCCCAUCUCCCUCCAACUCCAAGCCGAGCUCGUCUCCACUACUCCAGCUGCAAGCCGCCGGCCAUGGUGCUUUCCCUGGCGGCCAUCCGGUUAUGCGUCGUUGUGCCUUUGGUCUUGCUCAUUGUCGAACGCCAUUACCUCGCCGACCGCGACCCUAUCUCCGUUCUUCAAGUCGCCCAGCCCUCUGUUGGGUCCGCUAGCGACGACCGUCGUAGAGCGCUGCUCGACCUCCUCCAUGCACGAACAGCAGCAACCUCGAGCCUCCUCUGCGUCGUGCCAUCGACCCGCUCGAUGGAAUGCCGCAGCGAGCUCUACCCGAUCUGCAAUGCCUGCGCACCAUCGUCGAAAUCCCCGCAACCGUGUUGAUUCGCAACAACACGUCGUCGAUCUAGAAUCCCUAGCCUUGUGGUCGACCAUGCCCUCCAUCGAUGUCGUGCCUUGCGCAUCGCUUGCUCAACAGAAGCCUCACUCAUGAACGACAUGCAUGACUCAUUCGAUCCCUCUUGGGUUCUUAUCGUUUAACCGUCGCCUCGCCUCGAUGCCGGCUCCUACAUAACGUCUACAACUUGUGUUCAUGCCAAAAAUCCGAGAAGAUUAGGCGUAGAAGGAAACAAAUCAGUACGCAGCCGGAAAAUCCUCGAUGUGGAUGGAGAAGGUAGUGAAGUCCGCGUGGUGCUCACCACGUGCUCGAAGUAAUGGCGAGAUCAGAAAUCAUGGUUGUGUUCAUGGCCUUCGAGACAAAUUAAAUUAUUG
rnacentral:misc_RNA from 1 species